UCGAAAAAACAGCGAUAUAGAGUCGUGAAUACGAUUAUAACCUCGAUAAGAUUUCGAUCUCGUACUCGGACGAUCUCGAUCGCGUUCUCGGAAAAUCGUCAUCCGAUAUCAGAAGAUCUCCAUCUUGAAACCGAUAACAGAUGCAUGACAACUCCGACCAAAGUUGGGGACUUUUCAAAAAUCACAACAAGUUCAUGGGAUGUAAAUUGUGUUGCAACAACCAUCCAUGAAGUCAACUGGCGUGAAUGGUAUAAGC